CCCUGCACUUCGGGAUAAGCUUGGGAAACUGGGUCUAAUACCGGAUAGGAGCCAUCUUUAGUGUGGUGGUUGGAAAGCUUUUCGGUGUAGGAUGAGCUCGCGGCCUAUCAGCUUGUUGGUGGGGGUAAUGGCCUACCAAGGCGGCGACGGGUAGCCGGCCUGAGAGGGUGUACGGCCACAUUGGGACUGAGAUACGGCCCAG
rnacentral:rRNA from 1 species